GUACACAAUCCCUCCCCUCUGCCUGUGAUACAAUUAACGAAGACAAUGGACUAACUCAAUUAACUUUAAGCAGAAAAAACUUACAUUAUUACAAAGUCUGGAAAACACCCCAAAACAUAACAUAUCCCCAUCUUACAUCCCCUGAUAGCCCUGAUCUGGGUAAACAACGUAUCCAAAAAUCACCCAGAUCAGAGCAGGGGUUCAGGAAAUUCCUGUCUCUUUUGGCUGAC